AUGAUUAACGGGCAUGCGGCCGCCCUGUGCACAAAUUGUGGCAGAAGGCCUCAGCCCAGGUUGUCUCGGCCUGCAUCCAUUCCCACUCUAUGGACCGCUCGGGCGGCUUUUCCUAAUGCGCUCAAGCAGCUUUUUGGGGCAAAAUAUGAUACAGUACUUCUGAAUUUUCAAUGCAACUCUGUGCUUUUAAGUAUUUUGGUAAUGUUUAAUGCACUGUUUAAUUUAGAAAAAAAUGUGCACCAAUUUUUUUUGCAAAAUAAUGUUAAUGAUUGUAUUUGUGUUUUGUGUGUGUGUGUGUGUGUGUGGUGCAUUUUAUAUGAUGUUAUCCAUAUAAUAAUGCCCAUGCACUAUUAA
rnacentral:rRNA from 1 species